AAUGGGCGAAAGCCUGAUCCAGCCAUGCCGCGUGAGUGAUGAAGGCCCUAGGGUUGUAAAACUCUUUCGCCAGGGAAGAUAAUGACGGUACCUGGUAAAGAAACCCCGGCUAACUCCGUGCCAGCAGCCGCGGUAAUACGGAGGGGGUUAGCGUUGUUCGGAAUUACUGGGCGUAAAGCGCACGUAGGCGGAUUAGUCAGUCAGAGGUGAAAUCCCGAGGCUCAACCUCGGAACUGCCUUUGAUACUGCUAGUCUAGAGUUCGAGAGAGGUGAGUGGAAUUCCGAGUGUAGAGGUGAAAUUCGUAGAUAUUCGGAGGAACACCAGUGGCGAAGGCGGCUCACUGGAUCGAUACUGACGCUGAGGUGCGAAAGCGUGGGGAGCAAACAGGAUU
rnacentral:rRNA from 1 species